rnacentral:rRNA from 1 species
GAUGAACGCUGGCGGCGUGCCUAAUACAUGCAAGUCGAGCGAACAGACGAGGAGCUUGCUCCUCUGACGUUAGCGGCGGACGGGUGAGUAACACGUGGAUAACCUACCUAUAAGACUGGGAUAACUUCGGGAAACCGGAGCUAAUACCGGAUAAUAUAUUGAACCGCAUGGUUCAAUAGUGAAAGACGGUUUUGCUGUCACUUAUAGAUGGAUCCGCGCCGCAUUAGCUAGUUGGUAAGGUAACGGCUUACCAAGGCAACGAUGCGUAGCCGACCUGAGAGGGUGAUCGGCCACACUGGAACUGAGACACGGUCCAGACUCCUACGGGAGGCAGCAGUAGGGAAUCUUCCGCAAUGGGCGAAAGCCUGACGGAGCAACGCCGCGUGAGUGAUGAAGGUCUUCGGAUCGUAAAACUCUGUUAUUACGGAAGAACAAAUGUGUAAGUAACUAUGCACGUCUUGACGGUACCUAAUCAGAAAGCCACGGCUAACUACGUG